rnacentral:rRNA from 1 species
CCUACGGGUGGCAGCAGUGAGGAAUAUUGGUCAAUGGGCGAGAGCCUGAACCAGCCAAGUCGCGUGAAGGAUGACGGCCCUACGGGUUGUAAACUUCUUUUGUCAGGGAGCAAUUUAGUCCACGUGUGGGCUUAGCGAGAGUACCUGCAGACAAAGCAUCGGCUAACUCCGUGCCAGCAGCCGCGGUAAUACGGAGGAUGCGAGCGUUAUCCGGAUUUAUUGGGUUUAAAGGGUGCGCAGGCGGCGAGUUAAGUCAGCGGUAAAAUUUCGGGGCUCAACCCCGACAAGCCGUUGAAACUGGCGUGCUAGAGUGGGCGAGAAGUAUGCGGAAUGCGUGGUGUAGCGGUGAAAUGCAUAGAUAUCACGCAGAACUCCGAUUGCGAAGGCAGCAUACCGGCGCCCAACUGACGCUCAGGCACGAAAGCGUGGGUAUCGAACAGGAUUAGAUACCCCAGUAGUC